rnacentral:snRNA from 1 species
CAAUGGAACUUUUCCAUUGACUU